rnacentral:rRNA from 1 species
GAUGAACGCUGGCGGCGUGCCUAACACAUGCAAGUCGAACGAAGCACCUUACCUGAUUCUUCGGAUGAAAGUUUGGUGACUGAGUGGCGGACGGGUGAGUAACGCGUGGGUAACCUGCCCUGUACAGGGGGAUAACAGCUGGAAACGGCUGCUAAUACCGCAUAAGCGCACGAGGAGACAUCUCCUUGUGUGAAAAACUCCGGUGGUACAGGAUGGGCCCGCGUCUGAUUAGCUGGUUGGCAGGGUAACGGCCUACCAAGGCAACGAUCAGUAGCCGGUCUGAGAGGAUGAACGGCCACAUUGGAACUGAGACACGGUCCAAACUCCUACGGGAGGCAGCAGUGGGGAAUAUUGCACAAUGGGGGAAAUCCUGAUGCAGCAACGCCGCGUGAGUGAAGAAGUAUUUCGGUAUGUAAAGCUCUAUCAGCAGGGAAGAUAAUGACGGUACCUGACUAAGAAGCUCCGGCUAAAUACGUG